GCCGCAGUGGCGGAACUGGCAGACGCGCGUGGUUCAGGUCCACGUUCUCGCAAGGGAGUGGGGGUUCGAGUCCCUUCUGCGGCACCA
rnacentral:tRNA from 1 species